AGAGUUUGAUCAUGGCUCAGAGUGAACGCUGGCGGCAGGCCUAAUACAUGCAAGUCGAACGGCAGCACAGCAGAGCUUGCUCUGUGGGUGGGCGAGUGGCGGACGGGUGAGGAAUACGUGGGAAUCUGCCCAGUCGUGGGGGAGUAACGUAGGGAAACUUACGCUAAUACCGCAUGCGCCCUUCGGGGAAAGCCGGGGACCUUCGGGCCUGGCGCGAUUGGAUGAGCCCACGUCGGAUUAGCUAGUUGGCGGGGUAAAGGCCCACCAAGGCGACGAUCCGUAGCUGGUCUGAGAGGAUGAUCAGCCACACUGGAACUGAGACACGGUCCAGACUCCUACGGGAGGCAGCAGUAGGGAAUAUUGGACAAUGGGCGCAAGCCUGAUCCAGCCAUGCCGCGUGAGUGAAGAAGGCCCUCGGGUUGUAAAGCUCUUUUGUCCGGAAAGAAAAGCGCCGGGUUAAUACCCUGGUGUCCUGACGGUACCGGAAGAAUAAGCACCGGCUAACUUCGUG
rnacentral:rRNA from 1 species